UACGUAGGGUGCAAGCGUUAAUCGGAAUUACUGGGCGUAAAGCGUGCGCAGGCGGUCUUGUAAGUCUGUCGUGAAAUCCCCGGGCUCAACCUGGGAAUGGCGAUGGAGACUGCAAGGCUGGAGUUUGGCAGAGGGGGGUAGAAUUCCACGUGUAGCAGUGAAAUGCGUAGAUAUGUGGAGGAACACCGAUGGCGAAGGCAGCCCCCUGGGUCAAGACUGACGCCCAUGCACGAAAGCGUGGGGAGCAAACAGG
rnacentral:rRNA from 1 species